GAUUUUUGUAGUAAAUUUGAGGAGUUAGGAUUUUUUGUAAUUAAUGAAAGAUAAGUUAUAUUAUUUUUUAAUUUUUAGAAAAAUAAAUAACACUAAUACAAUCAAAAUUAAAUCCUAGCCCACUAGCCUACCCGAAAGAGGCCCAACCCUCUUCCAUUUUAUUACAUAUACCCAAAAAUUGAGGGUUUCUUAUCCCCGCUCUCACUCUAAACUUAUCUCCACCUCUCCACACUUGAAAAAAGAUGUUUUCACACUUCAACGAUGAAUUUUUCCUUUUGACUUCUUUGGGUUAUCAAUACUCAUCUUUUGAAGGCUCGAGUUCUUUGAAUAUCAACUUUCAAGAAUGAAUUCGGAGUUGAGUGCAUGAAAAUCUCGACAUUUCUAUCCCAAAAUAUACUGCCAGGCGAACUUGACUAUGAAUUCUCCAUCCUCUACUCAACAUUCAGUAAGGUCUAUCCUUCCCCAUUUCUUGAUUGGGGGGCUUCACAUUUUGUACUAUAUGUUCCACCACUUCGGUAGUGAACAAGUCUCCUAAAAUCUUUAAAUUUAUUCUCCAUUAUUUAUUACGUCAAUGAUUUUGUCAUAAGAAUCAUCCCAUAAAAAUAGUAUAAUAACAUAAAAAUUAUACAAAAAAUAUAUUAAUAAUUUUUU